ensembl:lncRNA
CAAAAUCUCCAGCAGCUGUGAAGGGCUCCCUGCUGCCAUUUACCCAUUCAGUACAGCUGCUCUGAUUAAAAUGCUUUUAAACAUCAGAAAGUGCUGGGCUUCCAGCCCUUUUCUGUCUUGAAUCAUGAGGACCUUACAGCAGAUUCCAGCAGCAGGGAGAUGUGCAGCUCUCCAGGCUGUGCUCCAAUGAGCUGUCGCUGCCCUGGGACGAUGCUGUGCAGCACCAGGCUCCUGGCCCCAUCCCACCCAGUGCUCUGAUGCUUCUCCCACCAACAGGACUGGUCCCUGUCCCAGGAGAUGGUGCAGGAUCAUACCUCCAGCCCGGGGCCCAGCCAUUCCCAGAAAACACGGUGCUUGCCCGGGCUGUCCAUCCCAGGUUAACUGCUUGCAACAAAAAGAUGCCGUGCGAAGGAGAGGGCUGGAUUCGGUAAAAUCAUCCUGGAGUGGUCUCAUUUACCUUCAUUAAUCUUUCAGCCACACGUUUCUCCCUCCUGCAAGAAGAACAAAUGCACAGCCUUGAAUGCGGGAUGAUGAAAUGCUGUAGGCGGCGUUGGAAAGGCAGCGAUUGCCGUGUAACAGCUGUGCGCUCUCUCGGGCCAGCAGGCUCACGCUCGGUUUCGCAAACAGGGCCCCUUGUUUUGUUUUUUGUUGUUUUCAUAAUACCACACAGGAGCUCUUUGCAAAUUCAGUUUUCUAAGUGGAUUCAGCAGGAGUCGCCACUCCUGAUGAUGAGAUGUGACCUGUUUUAAUCACUGCUGUCCACUGUCAGGUGAAAGUUCUGAAACGCAGCCGUGAGAUGAAUAGCAAUGACACGUUUUGGGCAGAGCACUGCAAAAUCAGGCUGCGAAAGACAGCGCUGGCAGAGGUGAUCCUGAGAGUGUCACCAGCCUCUGUCCUCGUGGUUUUCUCCAUUGGUACUUGCUGUAAUUCAUAUGGAAAAAAAAAAACAUGGAAUCACGGAAUGGCUCAGGUUAGAUGGGACCCUAAAGUCCACCCGGUUCCAACCCCUGCUGUGGGCAGGGACACCAUCCUCCAGCUCAGGCUGCCCAGGGCCCCAUCCAGCUUGGCCAGGAGCACCUCCAGGGAUGGGACACCCACAGCCUCCCUGGGCAACAAGAAACAUGAAUGGAAGUUGUGUGCGGGUGUGAGAAAGGCAGCUGGGCUCAGGCCCCCGCCCUGCUGAAUGUCAACACCCAUUUCAGUGACACUGUUGUGCUCUGACCUCUGCCUGGGUUUUGCUGGGACAUGGCUUCUCCACUCUUUGCACCUGGGAACAAACACCUUUGCAAAGGCAAUUUUAGGGAGAAUUAAAGGCUCAUCCGCCUUCCAUCUUAAUUCCUUGUCGUUUAGUUCUCUCAAUAUGAUUUCUACAGUACUGCUUUUGUGCUCAGUGCCUGCCAGCCACUCGAUUUGCCUUGACCUUUCAUGUCUGCACUCUGGCAGUAUUUGUUGUCUUUCUCGAUACUUGAGCUAUUAACAUGUGAAUUACAUCAACUGCUUUUAAUCUUACCUCUUUGUGGUAUUAUGGCAGCUCUGCAUAACACAACACAGUAGUGCAAUGAAUGGUUCAGCUCACUCACUGCGAUGGAAAUGUUUUGUAACUGUUGAUUUUCAUUUUUCUGACCUUUUUAUAAAGGAAUAUAAAAUGAUUAUAUUGAGCUGGCCCCUGCAUCUCCUGCAUGUGGGUGAACCUGAAGGCUGGCUGGAAGACAGCAGGGUAGGAGCUCUGUUUUGGGGCUCUGUUAGUAUUUGAUUUUAGAAUAAACUACAGUUUGGUUCCUUGACAACUAAGCAAUGAUUGGAUAUUAGGAAAAACUUCUUCUCUGAAAGAGUGGUGAGGGACCAGCACAGUUUGCUCAGGCAGGUGGUGGAGUCACCAUCCCUGGAGGUGUUCAAGAAGAGGGUGGAUGUGGCACUGAGGGACGUGGUUUAGUGGACAACAUUGAUGGUGGGUGGAGGGUUGGACAGGAUAAUCUUAGUGAUCUUUUCCAACCUCAAUGGUUCUGUGAUUCGAUGAUUCUAUGAAGGUGUGGAUGUCUUGAGAAGCCACUGUGUGUGUGGUUAAUUGUGGUGAUACAGAUUCCUGGUGGUGCAGACUGUGUUUCUGAAGAUGUCAGUAAGCAAACAAACCUGGUUCACACACCAUCAUCCUGUGCUCAAGGAUCACUGUAGAAGUGUCACCAGAAAAAAUCACACCAAAAAUAGAAAGAUCUUCUGCAUCAUCACAUCCUUCCCAAGGAACCAUCCAGCAG